rnacentral:rRNA from 1 species
CAGCAGUAGCCGCGGGAAUACGAAGGGGGCUAGCGUUGUUCGGAUUUACUGGGCGUAAAGCGUGCGUAGGCGGCUUUUUAAGUCGGAUGUGAAAUCCCUGAGCUUAACUUAGGAAUUGCAUUCGAUACUGGGAAGCUAGAGUAUGGGAGAGGAUGGUAGAAUUCCAGGUGUAGCGGUGAAAUGCGUAGAGAUCUGGAGGAAUACCGAUGGCGAAGGCAGCCAUCUGGCCUAAUACUGACGCUGAGGUACGAAAGCAUGGGGAGCAAACAGGAUUAGAUACCCCGGUAGUCCCUGUCUCUUAUAA